UCAGGGCGAGGAAGCCAGCAGGAUAUCGACUUAAGGACAAGGGUCAGGAACGCCAGGAGGCGAAGACGCAGGAUUGUCAGGAUGACCAGCGCCUGGAGGCGUUUUAAAAGGAAAUGGAACCGUAUCACGGACGGUAUUAGCCAAGGGAUAAACAGGGUUUGUUGUUGGCAAACACGGAAAGUCUGACCCGCUAAGGGUUGUGAGUCAGGAAAAAAGGCGACAGAUUGCUCUGUCGCCUUUUUUCUUUGCUUGCUU
rnacentral:sRNA from 2 species